AAUCGCAAGGAAUUAAUGAAACAAUGUUUGCAAAUUUCAUAUGUUAAGAAAACACUUUUGACUUCGGGAAGAGACGAUUGUGGGCGAUUUUGAAAAGGGUUUCUUUCAGGUAAUGAUUGUUGGCCUCGGAUUAUGUCGACAUGGUGUAAAAAUAGUAGAUUAAACAAUGAAAUUCAAGGGUUUGGUUAAAAAUGGUGGUAAGGGCUUGGAGCCUAAGAGAGAGUAAAAUGGUGAUUUGAGAGGGUAAACGAACUCCGUUUUUUGAUAAAUCUUAUAUGCACGGACUCGUGGCGAGACGAGGAAUCUAAAGAUUUAUUUUUCAGAAUUUUUCGAGAAGUGGGCCCGGGGCUCAAUUUUUACCAACUUCGUGAUUUUUAACGUUUUUCGAAUAAUUGCAAUUGGGUUAUGCUUAUUCAGCCUAUACUAACCUAUUUGUUGUGGUUUUGAAUAGAUUCGACGCUCGUAGAAGAAGAUUCGAAAGGAAAAUGCAUUGCAGACCAGUCUACGACCUGUUAGAGGUGAGUAGUUUGUAUAGAUGAUGGCCUGAGGGGUUUGAAACCCCGGCUUAUCACAUCGUGACGUUAUGUUAGGGCGUGACUCGCACCUCAUGGAAGGUGCGAGAUUAUAAAUGAUUGGAUAUUGUGACUUGGUCCAUCCCGAGAGUUGAAUAUGAAUUAUUGGCGUCUGAUACGCACAUCGUGUUGUUGAUAAUUGGGCUUGAUGCCAUGUUUGGGGCGUUGUGAGAUCUGUAGUACCCGUCUAGGGCUAAUAUCUAUGUGGUAACAUGAUUUGCAUAAUCAUUCAUCUCAGUCUUGUGUUAUUCACUAUUAAUAAAUGCUAAGUCACCGUAUUUCUAAAAUUGACUAAUUAAAUUGUAUUCACCUAAAUAAAUUGGAAGCUGGCAAAGAAUCAGAUUAAAUCUGUUAUGUGACUUACAUGCAUACUGUGGAUUGAGGUUGGCUCGGGCUGCGCGCCGCAGCGGUUAUAUAUUGAUAUUGAGGCCGAGUGCCUGUUCUUAGCCGAUACAUGGCUGAUAUUGCGCUUGGGCUGAAGGAACCCCUCCGGAGUCUGUACACACCCCCAGUGAGCGUCGUCGAUGUUAAAUUAUAUGCAUGGUUGGCUCGGGCUGCACGCCGCAACGUAUUCAUGUGCAUUACAUUGCAUCUCUAUUUGAUACUUGGUUGGUGUUGUGAUACUGUUUGUUGUUAGUCCGUAGCUAAGUUAUAGGAUUAUUAGUUAUAGCUUUGCUUUGUGGUCUUUUGUGGAUUUAUUACUUUCAGUCAUUUUCUAUACUUAUUAUUCACUGAGUCGGUAGUACUUCCCCCUACUUCCUACACAUUGUGUGCAGAUUCAGGUACACCGGAGGCUUAGCUGAUUCUCGUAGUCUCCAGAGAUAUUUCCAGAGUCGCUGAGGUAGCUGCAUGACAUUCGCAGGACCUAGCAGCUCUUCAUUAUUUUUUCAUUUCAUUAUUAUUAUAUACUUUCCUAGAUUUUUAUUUUGGUACUCAGAUACUAUUAUUAUUACUCAGUUUUGUUUAGAGGCUCUAGACUCGUGACCCCAGAUCUUAUGGGUGUGAUCGAUUUUCGUACUUAUCUAUUUUACAUCAUUAGAAUUCUUGGAUUAUUAUUAUGGUUAAAUUCUCGGUUUGAGACUUAAAUGUUAAAUCAAAGCGAUUGUUGGUCAGGCUUACCUAGCGUUAGAGACGGAUGCCAUCACGACCGAGUUUGGGUCGUGACAAUAGUAGUAUAGAAUACUAUAGAUUAGAAUAGAAUUCACUAGAAUCUUCUAGAAUAGGCUGGGUACCAUCACGACCGGAAUUGGGCCGUGACAACAAGUUCAUGUAUGAUACGUAUCAAACGCAUGAACCUCGUUGAUUAUGCAGUUAGCUU
rnacentral:lncRNA from 1 species